GUCAUAAAGACUUUAAAGAUGAUCCUUAGAAAGGCCUACUUGGCAAGGAAAUGAGGCAUUUAUCCAAAGCCAUGAAUAGAAGGGAACUUCCUCAGCAUGACAAGACAUCUAUGGGAAACCCACAGACAAUAUCGUACUCAAUGGUGAAAGACUGAAAGCUUUCCACAAAGGACCUGGAGCAAAAUGAUGCCACUCUCACCACUUCUAUUCAAUACUGUACUAGAUGUUUCAACCACAAUAAUUUGAAAUGGAAAACCUGAUCCUAAUCAUAUGAAUUGCAAGACACCCUGAAUAGUCAAAACAAAACAGAAAAGGUGAACAAUUUAUACUUUCUAAUUUGGAAACUUACCACAAGGCUAUGUAAUUGAAACAGCAGGAUAGUACUGACAUAAGAAUAAACGUAUAGAUCAAAUCAAAGAGUCCAGAAAUAAAGUCAUACAUCUAUGAUCCAUCAAUUUUUAACAAGGGCGCCAUGACA